GUUUGAUCCUGGMUYAGAUUGAACGCUGGCGGCAUGCUUUACACAUGCAAKUCGARSGGCAGCWYGGGGGCAACCCUGGUGGCGAGUGGCGAACGGGUGAGUAAUAUAUCGGAACAUGUCCGGAAGUGGGGGAUAGCUCGGCGAAAGCCGGAUUAAUACCGCAUAUGCCCUGAGGGGGAAAGGAGGGGAUCCRCAAGGACCUUUCGCUUUCGGAGUGGCCGAUAUCGGAUUAGCUAGUUGGUGAGGUAAAGGCUCACCAAGGCGACGAUCCGUAGCUGGUYUGAGAGGACGACCAGCCACACUGGAACUGAGACACGGUCCAGACUCCUACGGGAGGCAGCAGUGGGGAAUUUUGGACAAUGGGGGCAACCCYGAUCCAGCCAUGCCGCGUGAGUGAAGAAGGCCUUCGGGUUGUAAAGCUCUUUCAGACGGAAAGAAACGGUUACAGAUAAUACCUGUGACUAAUGACGGCACCGUCAGAAGAAGCACCGGCUAACUACGUGCCAGCAGCCGCGGUAAUAC
rnacentral:rRNA from 1 species